rnacentral:rRNA from 1 species
UACGGAGGGGGCAAGCGUUGUUCGGAAUUACUGGGCGUAAAGGGCGCGUAGGCGGCCUGUUAAGUCGAACGUGAAAUCCCCGGGCUCAACCCGGGAACUGCGUUCGAUACUGGCAGGCUUGAAUUCGGGAGAGGGAUGCGGAAUUCCAGGUGUAGCGGUGAAAUGCGUAGAUAUCUGGAGGAACACCGGUGGCGAAGGCGGCAUCCUGGACCGAGAUUGACGCUGAUGCGCGAAAGCCAGGGGAGCAAACGGG